AUCCUCAUGGAUACCAGUUGGGUUCUUAACCCACUGAGCCACAGUGGGAACUCCACGGACUGGGAAAUCUUGAGGAACAGGCGAGAGUCCAUCAGAACCCGCCAACUGGUGGGCAGCAGGCUGCCGAGCCUCAGCAACGGGCACCAGAUGUGACCUCUCCACACCUGCUUCCUCAGAGGGACUCCCCUUCCUCGUGGCUUCCUCAGCUUGGGGACACUUUAGCUCAGCUCUGGGAGCCCCAACUGGUUCGGCCAGUCUCUGACGCUCCCUGCCUGCAGGGCCCCCAGGCAGCAGCUCCUCAACCUCAAGGGCCAAAUCUGUUCCCGCCCCGGGGGAGGAAGGAAGGGCCCAGGUUACUAGCGGGCUUUCAGGUGGGCUGGGGUUGGAGACCUGGGAGGGAAAUUCACUGAGAAGCAUGUUGAAAUCUGACUCUAGAAUGUUCUAAACAUUCUAAAGCUUCCCAGGGGCUGCCCAUAGCAGCAGAGGACAAAGGAAGGCCAUUGAGAGUCUAGUGGGGGGAGUUCCUGUUGUGGCUCAGUGGAAAUGAACCUGACUAGUGUCCAUGAAGAUGUAGGUUCGAUCCCUGGCCCUGCUCAGUGGGUUAGGGAUCCCGAGUGGCUGUGGCUGUGGUGUAGGCCGACAGCUGCAGCUCCAAUUCAACCCCUAGCCCGGGAACAUUCAUACACCACAGGUAUAACUAUAAAAAAGCAAAAAAAAAAAAAAAAAAAAUCUAGUGGGAUGGUAGCUGGGGCCUGGGGGUGGGAACGCAUAAAACUGGGCUGAUGUAUUCUGUAUUUCACAUUGGCAGGCCUCCCAUACUGUGUAUGCCUCUAAGUCAGGGGCCUUCUUUCAUGAUUUCAAGGACACUUGGAGACCGGUUCCGCAUAUGAGUGGAAUUUAUGAAUUGUAUUUCAGUCCAUUAACCUUUUUCAACCUUUCAGGGUCAUCUUGCUUAUAUUCUUCUUCUGGAGAAGACGAGCCAUUCCAAAUAAAUUUUGAUUAAUGGCAACCAUGAGCCAAAGAAAGCAGAUGUCUUUUGUAAACAUGCUCAGGAGUUAUUUUGUCUCCUGAGCAGUCAUCUCCUGCGGGAAUGCGUUCCGAAGGAUGCUGUUUGGCGGCAAUUAGACAGUUGGGGAAGCCCAUGUAAUUGAAGGGGAAAGUGCCUUUGCUGUUCCUUCUUAAAAGGUGUCCAAUGUCUCUUUUUAGCCUGAAGAUGACAAGUUCCAAAGUUCAGGUAAAUGAGAGUUCCCUUAGCCUGGGCAGUGCCCACGCAAAGGGCCUCCUGCCCUGGUUUCCCGAAAAGGAAAGAUUUGCUGGAGGAACAGCAAGGUCACAGCGACACACCCCAGCAGUGGCGCCUCCCCGCACACCAGCUUCCUGUCCCUUUGGUGGUAGAUCUGCUCCUGCUGUAGGAACCGUCACAUCAUCCGCCUUGAGGCUGCAGCAGGAGAGCGCGGGACGCACCUGUCCAGACGUAUAAUUAGCCCAGCCCACCGGCCUCCUCGAACUUCUGUAACCACAACUCCUCGAGCAUACGUCGGGCAGCAGAAAAUCAUUGUAAGCACAGCUCAGCGGAGCUAUUUCACAAACUCUAGAGGAGAACCGCUUAAAGCGAAGCCCAGCGUUCACGGUGGACCAGCAAAUGCAGAGCAAACCAGAACAGCUGGCAGCAGGGACCAUUGUCGGGCGGAGCCGCCUGUAAUGGGCUGUUUCUCUUCUGCCAUAAGGAAGAGUGAUGCUUCCAGGAGAGCGUCUGCCGGUCUGGAGCCUGGGGGACCCUGGCUCGUUUUGCUGUAACUGUAAACGGGCAUGCUGAGAAGCCUUGUUUAAAGGGACCAGAAAAAUGUAUUCUAAAAUCAAAGGGCCUCCUGCUGGCUGCUCCCCUGGCUCAUGACAAAGACAAGACGGGAAGGACCAGGGAAACACAUAUGCCAUUAGCUGGGAGGGAUGGAUGACAGCAUGAGCCUCAGAGCCUCUGGAAGACCCCAGUGGACAGCUGGAAAAGCGUGAAAAGGGCAAACGAAUCUCAGCAUUGUCACAGAAACACCUUUGACCUCACGUGGAGACCUUGAACAGGUCCCAGGACCCUCAGGGGUCCCUGGACCACACCUUGAGGACCACUGAUACGGAGAAAUGAAAACGGCUCCUGGGUCCCAGCUGAACACCACUGAAGCACUGAAUUCUACACUCGGAGGGACGCUCAGGGCUGACUAGGGGAUUAUAAUGGAGGCGGAUUAAGUCAGUCAUCCAGAUGGGCCCUCUGGAAGGUGGAAGAAGAACAGGGUCACAGACCCAGGACGACUUCUGAAAGCCCAGAUGCUUAACUGCAAAACCCGAGUACAUCCCAUAAACACCACUGUGCCUUCAAGGGCCCUCCAAGGGCCUUUGGGAAAAGGCUCAGCCAUGUAGCCCCCUGUCAUCCUCCAGCCUCUCUCAUCAAGUCCAAUCAAUGUCCCGUAAGCGAAUAUCAUUACGAGCUUGGUGUGGUGGGAAGAAGAUUCUUCCCUUCCUCCCUUCGAGGUUCUUUGAUUAAAUUGGUCUAAUGAUAGUUAAAUUGACCUGUCUAAUAUUUAAAUUGAUAUAAGGCAGAUUAACAGGAGAAAAACAAAUUUAAGGACCUACAAAAGGGAGGCCAAAGACAGGAGCCUUGGGGCAAGCUGGACAUAGCAGCCUCUGUGCCAUCCUGAGCCGAGGGUUGGGAGGGGUCUGGAGUUGAAGGGCAGGAGGUGACUCACAGGACCUGAGGACAGCAGGUGUUUGGUCCUUAGGUGUGUGCCCUGCCCCACAUGGUCACUCAGAUGACAAGACAAUCCUGGCAAGAGCUCUCUUUCUGGCCGGCCCUCCCCCCCCUGAAUCUUUCAGAGAGUUAAGGGGAAAGGAAAGAGUUCUCUUCCAUCUGUUGGCUCUUGAUACUCUUCAGCUCAAAACAAUCCACCUGCCAAAGCGGCACAUUUUGGGGUGGCCUCUUCUGCUCCCUUUCAGGGUUGUAUUCAGUCCAGUGGAGGAUGCAAAAAAUAAUAUGUGAGCACAGAAAAAUUACAUGAGGCGUUCCCAUCAUGGCUCAGCAGGUUAAGAACUUGACAUAGCGUCCUUCGGG